rnacentral:rRNA from 1 species
GAACGGUAACGCGGGGCAACCUGGCGACGAGUGGCGAACGGGUGAGUAAUGCAUCGGAACGUGCCCAGUAGUGGGGGAUAGCCCGGCGAAAGCCGGAUUAAUACCGCAUACGACCUACGGGUGAAAGGGGGGGAUCGCAAGACCUCUCGCUAUUGGAGCGGCCGAUGUCAGAUUAGGUAGUUGGUGGGGUAAAGGCCUACCAAGCCUACGAUCUGUAGCUGGUCUGAGAGGACGACCAGCCACACUGGGACUGAGACACGGCCCAGACUCCUACGGGAGGCAGCAGUGGGGAAUUUUGGACAAUGGGCGCAAGCCUGAUCCAGCCAUGCCGCGUGCGGGAAGAAGGCCUUCGGGUUGUAAACCGCUUUUGUCGGGGAAGAAAUCUUCUGAGCUAAUACCUCGGGAGGAUGACGGUACUCGAAGAAUAAGCACCGGCUAACUACGUG